UGGCGCGAAGCUACCGUGCG
rnacentral:snRNA from 1 species